CCCCUCCCGGUCCUUUACCCAGCAGAUCUCCACACUGGUACCAGUCGUGAGAAAAGGAGGAUGCAUAACCUUGAAAAUAACAAGUUCUUUUGUGACAUGGGGGCUAGUUUCAAACAAAU
rnacentral:snoRNA from 1 species